rnacentral:lncRNA from 1 species
GAAAUGCACCAAGCCCAUCUGUUCAACGAACUUCACGAAAGGUAUAGAGCAAAAAUGGAGUUUUGAAGAUCGAGACAAGAGAGAGAGUUCCAGAAACUUCAAGAUUACAUGCAAACGUGGUACUUCUCUCCAUCACUCUACCAUUUACCUCUUUUCGGAACUAGAAAACGUUUUCAACGAUAGAAAUUAUGUUAAAGAGGAUGUAUCAUAUUAAGUGGAGAGGGGUUGGUUCUCUAUGGAGGAUGGCUCUUAGUGUGGUGGUCAUACUAUUGUACAUUCUUUACGACGCGUUGGGGACUUUCUUCGUCUAGCCCCUUCGAAUUGUAAUACUUGACGACAAAUAAAGUACGAAAGAGUAGUCUGUUGUUGAGAAAUCAGUUUGUGUGCAUUGUGUGUUCUUGGAAAUCAUAAGUUUGUACUUAUUUGUUUCGUAUAUGCAUGGUGGUUUAAGUACAAAAGCUGAUUAAGCUCCCUCUUAGCAUUCCUGAUAGGAUUUGCUGCUUAAUGCAAUUUUUAAACUUGAAACAUAAGGCAGGUUUUAGUGAUCUUAGACAGUAGUUUAAGAUGUCAUUUCAAUUUAAAGGUAGCAAAACGUGGGAUUUGCUUCAAAACUUGUUAAAUAAAUUUGAGAGCGCAGGAAUUUAUUAUAGACAUGCGUGCUAACAAAAGCCAAAAAAAAAAAAAAAAAAAAAAAAAAACCCCCUUUAUUUUUAAAAAAUUUUUUUUUUAAAUUUUUAUUACACAAUUCUGAGAAGUGGCAGUUGCGAUCACAGGCUGCUUUUCAGAAAUUUGAUCUUGAUAAAGAUGGUUAUAUAACACCAGAGGAACUAAGAAUGGUCAGUAAAUCUUACAUCAAAUAUCCAUCAGUAUAAUUACUGCACCAGUGUUUUUCAGUUCAAUCAAUUGCUUUUGGUUGACAGAAAACAUAUGUUAGAUGGCUCUUUCCAGGUUCAAUGAUCAAUAUUUGUUUUGAACUAAUUUGUGGCUUUAAAUGAAGAGCGAGCUUAAUGCCUAGUUUAUGGGACUUUCCGUCAGCUUUAUCUAAUUAAUCAAAUUUCUAGGGUUGGAAAGAAUAGAUGCAUUUGGUUUUGGUAUUCAGAAUCUCAUAGGUGUAACUAUUGAAUAAUCCUGCCUUCAUCUUUUGUUUGUUGCCAUCAUACUUUUUACCAUGCACUUCAUAUCCUUGUGCAAGGCUAGGUUACCGUGGGUAGCGGAAACAAUAUCCUUUUAUUUUUAUGACCUUUGUAGCUAAAAAUACUUGCUUCAAUACUGAUUAUGCUUUAUUGUUGCUUUGUAGCACACGGGCUUAAAAGGUUCCAUUGACCCACUUCUUGAAGAGGCUGAUAUUGAUAAAGAUGGUAAGAUAAGCCUUCCAGAAUUUCGUAGGCUUCUCAGAACUGCAAGUAUUAGUUCACGAAAUGCACCAAGCCCAUCUGUUCAACGAACUUCACGAAAGGUAUAGAGCAAAAAUGGAGUUUUGAAGAUCGAGACAAGAGAGAGAGUUCCAGAAACUUCAAGAUUACAUGCAAACGUGGUACUUCUCUCCAUCACUCUACCAUUUACCUCUUUUCGGAACUAGAAAACGUUUUCAACGAUAGAAAUUAUGUUAAAGAGGAUGUAUCAUAUUAAGUGGAGAGGGGUUGGUUCUCUAUGGAGGAUGGCUCUUAGUGUGGUGGUCAUACUAUUGUACAUUCUUUACGACGCGUUGGGG